rnacentral:rRNA from 1 species
AUUGGGGGCUGGAUGAGGCUGCAAGUCGUGGGAAUCCCCAGCAAUGGGGGGAACCGGCGUAAGGGGCAGUAAGGCGAAGGUACCCACCCCGGGGUCCGGGAUAGCCCGCCGAGAGGCGGGGUAAUACCGGAUGACCUCGGGAGAGCAAAGCUCCGGCGCCCCGGGCGGGGCCUACGUGAUAUUACCUAGUUGGCGGGGUAACGGCCCACCAAGGGGGAGAUGUCUAGCGGGUGUGAGAGCACGACCCGCGCCACUCGCACUGAGACACUGGCGAGACACCUACGGGUGGCUGCAGUCGAGGAUCUUCGGCAAUGGGAGCAACCCUGACCGAGCGAUGCCGCGUGGGCGACGAAGGCCUUCGGGUUGUAAAGCCCUGUCGAGGGGGAGAAAGCCGCAAGGCGGAUCCAUCCCUGGAGGAAGCUCGGGCUAAGUUCGUGCCAGCAGCCGCGGUAAGACGAACCGAGCGAACGUUGUUCGGAAUCACUGGGCUUAAAGGGCGCGUAGGCGGGCUGCCGCGUCCGGGGUGAAAUCCCACGGCUCAACCGUGGAACGGCCCCGGGUACGGGCGGCCUCGAGGGGGGUAGGGGCGGGCGGAACUGUGGGUGGAGCGGUGAAAUGCGUUGAUAUCCACAGGAACUCCGGUGGCGAAGGCGGCCCGCUGGACCCCAUCUGACGCUGAGGCGCGAAAGCCAGGGGAGCGAACGGGAUUAGAUACCCCGGUAGUCCUGGCCCUAAACGAUGAGAACUGGGUAGUAGCCCUGGCAUGGGGUUACUGCCGCAGCCAAAGUGCUAAGUCUCCGCCUGGGGGAGUAUGGGUCGCAGGCUGAACUCAAAGGAAUUGACGGGGGCUCCACACAAGCCGGGUGGAGCCAUGUGGCCU